UUACUGCUUUGAAAAUACCCAGGAUUUCAUCUCUAAGGAGUAGGUUAUUCUAAUGUCUAGACAAUGGCUACAGAACAUGGACAGGGCUGAGACCAAUUUGGGAGACAGGAGGCUUGGUCCUUCAAGUCUAUUGAAGAAAGAUUAUAAGGCAGAUGGAGAAAGUAGGAAUGAGGGCGUCCCUUUCAGAAGGCGGUUGAAAAGAUCAAAGAAGAGAAAACCCUGCAAACUCCUCACUCAGCCUCCUGCCCAUCACGUGGGAAACGGACGGCAAACAGUAGCUAUUGUUGUUACUUUGCAAUUUGCUCAGAACCGUCGUUCAGUACGCCCGAGGCUAAGAUGCUCAUAAUGAGGAUGAAAAUUUCCCAAUUGCUUCAUCAAGGAAGCAUUCUACUGGGAAACGAGCAAAGCUGGAUGAGCUGCGGAACAGAUCGCGUGUGCUCCCCACUGCCAGUCUAACCAGCUGACCCGAACCCCCAUCACAGAACUGCACGAACAAGCCAGAGAACCAAACCCUCCCAGGCGCAGAGCCCUAAGACGUGAAGGAGGCUCAGCUUCCACGCAGCACUCGGAGGAUAACCAUGCUGCCGCCCCAGCUCUCCAAGCCCACGGGCACAUCUGAGUGUGAGUCAAGGAAUGCUCCGUAAAGCGCUCUGAGCUUCUCAAAGGAAAGCAACAGGAAGUCUAUACAUCAUUUCUGCAAGCCUGUUAACAAGUGUCUAAGUCUCCCUCUUCAAAGCUGCUCACCACCACCAGGGCUCUGUAGUCAGAGCUCAGUAUUCCCAAGAAUUUGGUUACCAUGGGAACCGAGGAAGGACACACAUGCCCUGGAUUCCAGAAAUACAAAAGGAACUGUCUAAACAGGUCUGGAAGAGUUGGAGUUGGGGGGGGAUGACGCAGGCGUCAUUGAGGCGGGUUAACAGACGGAGACUUUGGUCCAAGGUCUGAAAAAUCAGAACGUGUUAUCUUUCAGGGAGUGCUUGGAGCAGGCACGCAGCGAGGAAGAGGAGAGAUGGAAUGACUCUGAGCCUGACCAUCCGACGUGGCCUAGAACUUUCACAAGAUAGUCUGCCACGCACAUAGCCCUGUGCUAAGCAGGAGAAGCAUAAGACGGAAGAGCUGAUAAUUCCACAUCAACAGGAAAGAAGCUUAACCCCGUGUGGCAUUUCAUUCAAUCAGAUUGAACCAGGCUUAUCGAGUUGAGCAUCGCUCAGGUGGGAAACACACGCUCUUGAGAGCAUAGAGCCCUAAAGACGAUGGGGAAGACUUUCUACCCGGGCGAGGUCUCACCGUAGUGGCCAGGACAGAGACACACAUAAAGAUUAGGCAGGGCAGAAGAAAACACCAGAACAGAGGUACACACAGAACGUUCUGGGGGCAGGGAACAGGGAAGGAUUGGUUUUGACUUAGAACAUUUAGGGGAGGAUGCUACGGACGUGAUAUCAAGCUGCUAUCUCUUGAGCGUCUCUUCUGAUGCCGGCAAUGAACAACAUGACAAAAAUUCCUGCCCUCACAGAGCUUCCAAUGAGCAGAGGUUGGGGAAGGGCUGAGAGGAGCUGGGAGAGUGAGUGAAGGUCUGGGAGUGGAUAUCGUAUGUGUGUGUGUUUGAGGCGGGGCUUGGGAGGUGUGGGUGGGGUGCUCUGAGGCUAGGCAGACCCCUGGAGUGGGGCUGUGUUGUGGAGGACAGUACACACCACAACAAGGCAUUUUACUAGGCUUCACUGCCUGGCCAAACAUUUGGGGACCCAACCCAAAGUCCACCCAUCUCCCUUCUUAUUUUAUUACUAUAUUGGCCUUGGUCCCAAACCUCGGGCAGAGUCAGGCGAGGCCCACAGCCAGAGCCAAACAGCAGGGGGAAGUAGCGCGAUCGGUCCUGUGCUUUAGGGCUGGCGGAGACAAAAGGACAUCUCAGAAGAGGCACAGGUGGAGGGACGAGAAACACGAAGGAGGCCUCGGCAACGGUUCAGGCAAGAGGUGAUGAGGACCGUGGCCGUGCGGAUGGAGGGGAAGGCACAGCCAGGAGGUGACUAGGACUCGGCCAACACUGACGUGGAAGAUGAAGGAGUCAGGAUGGAUGUGGACGGGAUGGGUAGGACGGAGGGGCCUCUAGGAAGACAGAACACUGGGGGUCAGAUGUGGGAAGGAAUGUGAGUUCCAUUCAGACGUUGACUUGGGAGCCACCCGAGGAGGCUUACCCGGCGAUGCACUAGCCAUGUUGAUCUGGGUUCACCCACCUGCAAAUAGUGACUGAAGCCCCUUCCAAGUACUAGACCAAAGGGACAACUGAGCAGCUGUGGGGGGGAGUGAACGGUGAUGGAUUAGGUUUUAGUUACAGAAUCUUAUCACUGGCGGGGUGCUCAGAGGGGAAGGGGCUUAAAUAGCAGAGGUACCCAAUAAACAUUUGUCAAAUGCAGCCAAACUUGCCACUUGGGACAAAUGUUGCGUGCCUAAUUGUCGCACAUCUGUUCAGAUGGUAUUUGAAUUCCUCCAGGGCUAGGGCGUCAGCGCCGCAUCAUCUGUCCAUUUUACUCUGAGACACAUUAUGCCAGAAUGUAUGUAUACAUGUAUCUAUUUAUUCACUUUAUUCUAUUUUUUGUUUUGGUUGUGCCACACGGCAUGUGGGAUCUUAGUUCCCCGACCAGGGAUCAAACCUGAGCCCCCUGCAUGGGAAGUGUGGAGUCUUAACCACUGGACUGCCAGGGAAGUCCCGAAUGUAUUUAUUUUUGAGUAGAAAUAGGCUUCCCUGUAAUUUCAGUUCAGACACCACUUCUUAUCUCUGGAACGACACUGUCCUGAAAUAUCUCGAGACAUUUGCUUUUUGUCUGUUUUCCCCACUACAAUGUUUCUCCCACCUCAAGGGGCAGACGCUUUGCUCGUUCCCUGCUAUAUUUUCAGCACCUAAAACGCUUCCUGGCACAGAGUAAGUGAAUGAUGAAGAUGUGAUUUUUCUGAAUGAAUGAAUGAAUGCGUAAAUGGCCUCGCCCUUGUCUUCGCAUUGAGUCUGAGGAAUGGUAAGACGCUUAAGGGAGCUGGAUGGAGGUCAGGUAGGAGAGUUACUGAUGGAAGAGUGACAGCUGAAGCUGAAGCUGUCGAGAGGGGCCGAGAUCUUGAGAGAGGAGGGCAGGUGGCAAGGUCCAAGACUUUCAUUCAUUUACUUAUUCACCAACUUUUCUGUUUUUAAUUAAAAAAAAUUU